UACGAAGGGUGCAAGCGUUGUUCCGGAUUCAUUGGGCGUAAAGAGCGUGUAGGCGGCCAGGUAGGUCGGUUGUGAAAACUGGAGGCUCAACCUUCAGAGGUCGACCGAAACCAUCUGGCUAGAGUCCGGGAGAGGAGAGUGGAAUUCCUGGUGUAGCGGUGAAAUGCGCAGAUAUCAGGAAGAACACCCGUGGCGAAGGCGGCUCUCUGGGACGGUACUGACGCUGAGACGCGAAAGCGUGGGGAGCGAACAGG
rnacentral:rRNA from 1 species